UACAGAGGGUGCAAGCGUUAAUCGGAAUUACUGGGCGUAAAGGGCGCGUAGGCGGAGUAUUAAGUUAGAUGUGAAAUCCCUGGGCUUAACCUGGGAAUGGCAUUUAAUACUGAUAAUCUAGAGUAGAGUAGAGGGAAGUGGAAUUUCCGGUGUAGCGGUGAAAUGCGUAGAGAUCGGAAAGAACACCAGUGGCGAAGGCGGCUUCCUGGACUCAUACUGACGCUGAGGCGCGAAAGCGUGGGGAGCAAACAGG
rnacentral:rRNA from 2 species